GUUCUGGUGGUUUGGCGGAGGGGUCACACCCGGCUCCAUUCCGAACCCGGCAGUUAAGCCCUCUGGCGCCGAUGAUACUCGCAAGGGGAAAGUAGGUAGCCGCCAGAACA
rnacentral:rRNA from 5 species